GAUGAACGCUGGCGGCGUGCUUAACACAUGCAAGUCGAGCGAGUGAGUUCUUCGGAACGAUCUAGCGGCGGACGGGUGAGUAACACGUGGGCAACCUGCCUCAUAGAGGGGAAUAGCCUCCCGAAAGGGAGAUUAAUACCGCAUAACAUCGUUGAAGGGCAUCCUUCGAUGAUCAAAGGAGCAAUCCGCUAUGAGAUGGGCCCGCGGCGCAUUAGCUAGUUGGUGAGGUAACGGCUCACCAAGGCGGCGAUGCGUAGCCGACCUGAGAGGGUGAUCGGCCACAUUGGGACUGGGAGACGGCCCAGACUCCUACGGGAGGCAGCAGUGGGGAAUAUUGCACAAUGGGGGAAACCCUGAUGCAGCAACGCCGCGUGAGUGAUGACGGCCUUCGGGCUGUAAAGCUCUGUCUUUGGGGACGAUAAUGACGGUACCCAAGGAGGAAGUCACGGCUAACUACGUGCCAGCCGCCGCAGUAA
rnacentral:rRNA from 1 species